UAAUUUUAUGCUUAUUUGCCAAUCUCUCACGCAAGGCGGCGGAGUUCUAAAUCCAGAUCCAAUUUCGUCGGAGCUGGUCACGAUUCGCCUUCGCCGCGGUGGUGAAAUCGUCUCCAUCGGUAAGUUUGCGCGGUCGCUGCUCGGCGCGUGCGGCAACGGCGGCGAUAAUCGCGGCAUCGAGGUCGGGUGAGAGGUCUGCGAGGGAUCGGCUGAUUUUGUGCAGAAAAUUCGACUGAAUCCGGCGGGAUCGUCGAUUGCGGUGGUGAGGGAACUGCCUUUCUCUCUCUGUAAAUUAAUUUUCGUGGUGAGCAUCUGCUGUUGAAGGAGAAGGCGUGGGAGCUCGAUUUUGUUCAGAGAAUCGUGGAAUUGUUUUUGUACUCUGAUUGGAUUUCUGAUACGAAUUUUUUGACUCCAGAGGUAGUGCUGGAGAUAUAUGAUUAUUAUCCUGGUUCAGAAGAUCUGAAUUGGAAGUUGUGAUUUAUUGUUCUUUCAUCGUCAAUCGGGACGUGCGUGGCGGAAUUACUGUGUUUAGACAUAUAAUUUCAGCAAAUAUGAUUCUCUGUUCACCGCUUCUGAGACGAUGAUAUGAAUGCUUCGCUUCGAAAUCCAGAUUUCGUUAGAUUUGGAUGGUUCUGUUAGCUGAUUUAUCUAAUUUCCGGAAGCAGAAGGAAAAUCUGGAUUGUAUGAGGAAGAACAAAGUACAGUGAACAGAAUUGAAGUUCGCCGUUGUUGACAUUUUAAUACGAGUUGUUGACAUUCGAUAAUCUCGGUAUUGAAAUGCUCUCGGUAAGGUGAGUGACGGAUCGCGUAGAAGAGCACUUGGAGCUUUGACCAUUGAAAUGCUCUGUUCCAGUUCCCUUGCUGCCUCCCUUUGCAACUGGGCCUUCUUCGGCUUCAGUCUGUCCAGAUUCACAAGGCACAUUUGAAGAUUUGAAGAUUUGAAGAAUGUUGAAG